rnacentral:tRNA from 1 species
GGGCUGAUAGUGAUAAUGGUAGCACAGUGGCUUUGCAAGCCUCGGGUGGGAGUUCGAUCCUCCCUCGGUCCACCA